rnacentral:lncRNA from 1 species
UAUUUUGUGUAGAUGCAUACCUUGUAUUUAUAUAUCAUCUUUUGUCUUUGAUGAUUUUAGUAUUAUCAACAUGUCAAGUGAUGUAAAAGAAUUUAUGUUUAAAUAAAAAAGGUUAUGUUUUGAGGUAUCAUGUGAUGUAAAAGAGAAGAAAUGAUGAUAAAGAAAAAAAUGCAAAUGUAAAAGUUGAACGCAUGUAUGUGAUUUAAAGUUAAUCAUAUUACUUGUAUGUUGAUUAGAUAGUACUUUCACUUUGGCUAUUGCUUGUCCUCGUGCAAACCAAGUAUAUUCAUAUUUUCGCUGUGCAU